rnacentral:misc_RNA from 1 species
UCACCCCUCAAGCCUAGCUUGGUGUUGAGACCUGCUGUCAAGGCAGUCUCUAAAAUCAGUGGCAGUGCUGUCAGGCUCUAAGCGUAGUAAAUUCAUCGCUAUAGGGUCCUGGUGGAUACUCGUCAGAACCCCCCCAUUUUUUAAU